UACGGAGGGAGCUAGCGUUGUUCGGAAUUACUGGGCGUAAAGCGCACGUAGGCGGCUUUGUAAGUUAGAGGUGAAAGCCCGGGGCUCAACCCCGGAAUUGCCUUUAAGACUGCAUCGCUUGAAUCCGGGAGAGGUGAGUGGAAUUCCGAGUGUAGAGGUGAAAUUCGUAGAUAUUCGGAGAACACCAGUGGCGAAGGCGGCUCACUGGACCGGUAUUGACGCUGAGGUGCGAAAGCGUGGGGAGCAAACAGG
rnacentral:rRNA from 1 species